rnacentral:lncRNA from 1 species
GCCCUGUGUGGGUGGGGUCACAGAUGCCUUAUUAUAGCCCAAAUCCCCCCUGAAAAAAGCAAUCAGGGCUUCAAUAAAUCAAUUAACCAGUUAAUUAGCUCACAGAACGACAAAAGCCCAACUGAUAAAUCAGAUUUACCCUUUUAUGAGGAUUGUCCUCUGCUAAUUUAAGGAGUUCCGUGACUUACCCAGAAGCCUCUGUCAGGGCCUCCUGGAUUGUCCAUGUCCAGGGCUCUGGGCGCCACCACCGCUCAUGGGUGACCUUGAGAACGCUGUCUCUACGCCAGGUUAGUGACAGAGAGCUGACGCACAGAGGGUGGACUGAACAUGGCUGCUUUCACUCUCGAUCCAAGGGACCUUUCACAAGGCAAGGCUUCCAGAGCCCUGGAUAAAGAGAACGGGAGACAGGGCGGCAACAAAGCUGGCAAGGAGCGGAAGUGGUACCCGAGGCCGAGGCCCAGGUCGGCUCCACCGUGUCUCCCUGAGGAAAGCCAAGCUGGGGCUCAGCUGGAAGUGGCCCGGCUCCCUGCUGACUCGGGCACCAGCACUGUCACCCAUGGUGCCCGUGGCUUUCUGAAAGGCUUCAGCUUGC